GGGGGCGGGGCUCAUGAAUAGUCAGGUGUGUCCAAUAUAAGGCACCUUAUAAGAGGGAGGCAGAUGGUACGGAGUCAGAAGAGGAGGUGUGGAGCUGUGCUGAGAGAGCGAAGGGUGGGAUGACGCCAUUGCUGGAAGUCCUAAGCCAAAGUAUGCCAACACCCUCCAGAAUCUGGGAAAAGCAUCAGGGUCUUUUCCAAUGAGUUGGCUCUUCACAUCAGAUGGCCAAAGUAUUAGAGCUUCAGCGCCAGUCCUCCCAGUGAAUAUUCAAGAUUGAUUUCCUUUAGGAUUGACUGGUUGGAUCUCCUUGCAGUCCAAGGAAUUCUCAAGAGUCUUCUCCAGCACCACAGUUCAGAAGCAUCAAUUCUUUGGUGCUCAGCCUUCUUUAUGGGCUUUAUGCCUUUCUCCGUUUAGCCUACAAACAGAGGGCACCCUCUGAACGUCCCAGGACUUCACUGGCCAUGGGGGCCACAAUGGCCAAGAGGAGGCAAAGCUGAGUGGGCCCUUCCCAGCAGGCUGUGGGCACUGUGGGGAGCUCUGGGAUACAGACUGGACGAAGACCAGGGGGUGCUUAGAAGUCAAGCUCUGGAAUCAACCACCCCUGGUCCAACUCUGGCUCCUACAUUUUUAGUAUCUAUAUGAAGCCGAGAACAUCUGUUUUUGUUUUUUUUUUCCUGCCAGCAUCCAUUCUCAGCCCCUCUGGUAACAAUAUCCCUGUGGUUCAUGUUGUCCCAGAGAAGGUGACCUUAGGUCCAGUUCCUGGGGAAGAGUACGGGACUCCUCUCGCCCCAAGCUAGUCACUGCCUCCCACUCCUCUGGCCAUGGCAGGAGCAGAGUUCUACUUAUUUUCGGAGAGAGGUCUGCCUCUUGGAGUGACUUUAACAAAUUCAUGAAAAGUCAUUUGACAAGUUUAUAAAAGUUCACUUCACAGAUUCAUAAAAGCCAGACUUGCCUUGACAUUCUGCCAGAAGGAUCAGUUUCUUCUUCUUGAAUGCAUAUUAUUUUUAACGAUACUAACUUUAUUCUCAUUUUAUUAUUAAAAUUAUAUGUGCUUUUGUAAAUUAAAAAUAAUGGGUAGUAAAACAGAUGUAGACAGGUAAAGACAAAACUAGAAAGUCCCUUAAAAUCCACUACCCAGAAAUAAUCAUUCUUCGCAUUUGGUGAACAGAAUGCACCAGUAAGAACCCACACUGCCUCUUUUAAAAAUGAUCCAGUACUUUAGAUUUUUCUUUUCAUGAUUUCAUGAAAAAUCUAGAAGUCCUUCUGUCCUUCCGCCCAGUUGCUGAGCCAGGGCACACAGACAGUCAAGACCUGACCUUUGGGAAGCAGGUGCCCCAGUUACAAAACACAGGUCUCCCCUCUGAGAUCCACAGAGUUGGUGUGAGCAUGGAUUCAAAGAGAAAAACAGCAGUGGGGAGAUAGCUGAAGGGUAAUGAAAUGACAGUCCAGUGAACAUGUUUCAAAAGCACAUUCAAUUUUGAAAGACAGAAAUAUUAAAUUAGCAAAAGGGAACAUGUUAGACCCAACAGAGCCAAGUUUCCGAAUGUCUUUUUGAAAUAAUUAACUCCAGGCAUAGGGAAUCGGGUAUAUUCACUGCAAGUGGGAGAUGACAGCGGGACCCAAAGCUGGAAGGUGCAUCUGGAGACGGGUGUGUGGAGGAGAGCUUGGAGGAGCCCACUGGUUCCAUUUUCAGGGUCCUAGGAUGAAGGACCAGGAACUAGAAGGCAGGAUUCUGGAAGGACUCAUUGCAAGGGCGUCUGGAAUGGCUCCCGGCAGGGUGCGUGCCCUCUCAUUUCUCACAGUCAGCCACCUGCUUUGGAAUCAAGGAAGCUCAUUAAAGACACAGAGUCUUUGGUGCCUCUGAGCCUUCCUCACCAGGGUCCUGGGGUCAAGGCUCAGGGGCUUUGUGGGUCACAGGGUCUCCAGAUGAUUCUGAGAUCUUCAACGAGUCACUCAGGACCUGGAUGAUUCGUUGUGAGCACUUAAAAGCAUGGAGGAGAAGCAGAAAUGCCGCAGAAAUGCCGCAAUCUGGUUUUAUGUGAGAACAUGUGCCAAAGCCUUAAAUUCUGAGGAGGACAGAGAACGCUCAGUCCAAGGAGUGAUUUGUUUUGUGUAAUUUCCUGGAGUUUUCAUUCUUAUUCUCCAGAAUUCCCUGAUGCCAGCAGGACAUUAAGCAACUAUUAACUUUAGUCGUUGCCCAUUUUACAGACAUGGAAACUGAAAUGAAGGUGACUCAGCUGUUGCCUAGACACCGACCAUUUGGGUCUGCAGACCUCUAGCCUCUCACUUCCCCCUCCCCAAGUGCCCUUCCUCUCAAGAGUUUGUGAUCCAGACUUGUCCUUCUGGGACUUCCCUGGUAGUCCAGUGGCUAAGACUCCACGCUUCCACUGGAGAGGGUGAGAGUUCAAUCCUUGGUCAGGGAACUAAGAUCCCACAUGCAUAGCAUGGCCAGAAAAAACUUGUCCUUCCCUGCUUAGAGGGAGGCAAGAUAGGGCACCUGGUCAAAAGAUGUUUAUCAGCCAUCCCUCAGGCCCUGUACUGAUUGCCUCAUCUAAUCUUCCACUCAAGGAAGUAAGUUCAGUUCAGUCGCUCAGUCGUGCCCAACUCUUUGCAACCCCAUGAAUUGCAGCACGCCAGGCCUCCCUGACCA
ensembl:lncRNA